rnacentral:lncRNA from 13 species
AUGGAAAGAGCAGGUGUUCCUAAUGCUUUGUACACUCCGUGUAUAAUAUCAACUUUCUGUGCUGUCAAUCAUCCCCCAGGUCACCAUGGUAACAGCGUGCGAAGACUGGCUCUACGCUUAGAGGCUCUGAGCUCUCAGGUGCAGCGGCUAGCGAGGGAGAGAGACACUCCCCAGCCUGCUAAAGAAGAACUUAUUAACCUUCUGCAAAGUCUCCGGCAGGACCAGGAGGGCUUGGUGCGGUCCGUGGAGCGAGAGUUACAGAGAAUGGCCCAGAAGCUGGAAAGCCUCGGUCAUCAGCCCCACACACCACGACCACAAGACGACCACAGACCGCAGACAGGUAGGACCACAACCAGCCCUGGUCAUAGCCUUUCUCUAACUAGUAAUAAUACAAUAUGGUUCUUUAGUAGGCAUACAUUUAUUAUCAAAAGCAACUUACAGUACAGAGGGGCCAUGCAGGAAUCAAACCCCAAACUUGGAACCACAUUGGAACUACAUCAUAUAACAUUAGCUAGAGAAGCUUACCAUAACAGAGAGACCUAUAAUUACAAUUGGAUCCUGUGUUGCUCAGAUGGUAGAUCAUGGCGCUUGUAACACCAAGCGUCGUGGGUUUGAUUCCACUGGGGCCACCCGCAUGUAAAAUGUCUGCAUGCAUGACUGUAAGUUGCUCUGGAUAAAACCGUCUGCUAAAUGGCAUAUAUUAUUAUACACUGAGUAUACCAAACAUUACAGUGGCAUGUGAAAGUAUUCACCCCCCUUGGCAUUUUUCCUAUUUUGUUGCCUUACAACCUGGAAUAAAAAUAUAUAUCUUUUUUUGGGGGGGGGGGGUUGUAUUAUUUGAUUUACACAACAUGAAGAUGCAAAAAAU